rnacentral:rRNA from 1 species
GACGAACGCUGGCGGCGUGCUUAACACAUGCAAGUCGAACGGAAAGGCCCUGCUUUUGUGGGGUGCUCGAGUGACGAACGGGUGAGUAACACGUGAGUAACCUGCCCUUGACUUUGGGAUAACUUCAGGAAACUGGGGCUAAUACCGGAUAGGAGCUCCUGCUGCAUGGUGGGGGUUAGAAAGUUUCGGCGGUUGGGGAUGGACUCGCGGCUUAUCAGCUUGUUGGUGGGGUAGUGGCUUACCAAGGCUUUGACGGGUAGCCGGCCUGAGAGGGUGACCGGCCACAUUGGGACUGAGAUACGGCCCAGACUCCUACGGGAGGCAGCAGUGGGGAAUAUUGCACAAUGGGCGGAAGCCUGAUGCAGCAACGCCGCGUGCGGGAUGACGGCCUUCGGGUUGUAAACCGCUUUCGCCUGUGACGAAGCGUGAGUGACGGUAAUGGGUAAAGAAGCACCGGCUAACUACGUG